rnacentral:rRNA from 1 species
AACGAACGCUGGCGGCGCGCUUAACACAUGCAAGUCGAACGGUCCCGAUAAAGCCGUAAGGUGAUAUCGGGGUAGUGGCAAACGGGUGAGUAAUACGUGGAUAAUCUACCUUUGAGUGGGGGAUAACUUUACGAAAGUGGAGCUAAUACCGCGUAAGACUACAGAAUCGCAUGAUUCAGUAGUAAAAGGCACCGGUUUACCGGAGUCGCUUAAGGAUGAGUCCGCGCCUGAUUAGCUAGUUGGUAAGGUAAUAGCUUACCAAGGCAACGAUCAGUAGUCGGCCUGAAAGGGUGUUCGGCCACAUUGGAAUUGAGAUACGGUCCAGACUCCUACGGGAGGCAGCAGUGGGGAAUUUUGCGCAAUGGGGGAAACCCUGACGCAGUGACGCCGCGUGAACGAUGAAGUCCUUCGGGAUGUAAAGUUCUGUCAGGCGGGAAGAAUCUUUCCCCGAUGCAAAUCGGGGGAGAAUGACGGUACCGCCAGAGGAAGCACCGGCUAAUUCCGUGCCAGCAGCCGCGGUAACACGGAGGGUGCAAGCGUUGUUCGGAAUUACUAGGCGUAAAGAGCAUGUAGGUGGUUAGCUAAGUCGGAUGUGAAAAUCCCAAGCUUAACUUGGAACGUGCAUUCGAAACUGGUUAACUUGAGUGUAGGAGAGGAGAGCGGAAUUCCUAGUGUAGCGGUGAAAUGCGUAGAUAUUAGGAAGAACACCGGUGGCGAAGGCGGCUCUCUGGCCUAAAACUGACACUGAGACGCGAAAGCGUGGGUAGCGAACAGGAUUAGAUACCCUGGUAGUCCACGCCGUAAACGAUGGGCAUUAGGUGUAGGAGGUAUCCAAUCCUUCUGUGCCGAAGUUAACGCAUUAAAUGCCCCGCCUGGGGAGUACGACCGCAAGGUUGAAACUCAAAGAAAUUGACGG